GCCCUCAGCCAAUAGGAACGGGGCGAAGGUGUGGUUUGCGUGGUUGACUGACAGCGGAUGAGAGGUGAGUGGCAGCCUCUCAUUGGUCGGUUUGAGGACGGGGAGGGGCAACGCGCUGUCGUCUGCAGGUACAAACCAGCUCACCCAGCUCAGGUGUGUGUGCAGGUGGAGGUGAUGAUGACGAUGAUGAUGAAGAAGCUCUGGAAGAGAGCUGGGACUCACGGUUGGCCAACAGGGAGCUGUGUUGCUGCAGAGUGUUGAGGCGGUGAGACGCUGAAAGAGGAGGUGGUGCCACACCUGAGGAGUGAGGGGGGAGGAGACGCUGCUCCUUCUCCCAGGAUCCUUCACUGCCUCCUACAGGAGACGAAACGAGGAAACGAGGACACCAGACUCCGCUCCAUUGCGAUGUCGAUGCUGGUCGCUGUUUCCAUGGAAACCCAUCAUCAUCCUCAUCUUCUGCAGCUUCAGGGCCUCGGCCAUCGCCGCCGUCAGACCUGCGGAGAGACGGCGAACAGCAGAGACGAGUCCGUCGAUCAGCUGAUCUCAGGACGAGGGAGAAACAUUUCCCUCCUCUCUCUCUCUCUCUCUCUCCCUGCAGCCACUCGGCCCAGUUAAUCUCCUCCUCUAAUUAAUUUAAUUAGUAUUAACGAGCCCCCCGGCUCCUGACCAAUGAAAACACUCGUCAGUCUUUUUGUUCUCAGAGUUUCGCUGCAGGAGUCUUUUUUUUCUUCAAAUCUUGCAGCUUCUGAAACUGGAACAUUUUAACGUCCGGAGGCUGAAGGUGAAUCCGGCAGGAGUUUAGCUUUUAGCUUAGCACAAAAAGACUGCAAUCAUAUACAGAUCAAAUGAAUCACAACAUGCCACCACAAGCAUCUGUAACAAUGAAAACGUUUUAAUCAGAGACUGUAUAUAAUUUGGGCUGCGACUAACAAUUAUAUUCAUAAUCGGUUAAUCUGUCGAUUAUUUUCUCAAUUAAUCGAUUAGUUGUUUGGUUCAUAAAAAGGUGAAAAAUGUUGACAUGAUGUUGUUUUGUCCACACACCAAAUAUAUUCAGUUUACUGUCACAGAGGAGC